rnacentral:rRNA from 1 species
UACGGGGGGCGCAAGCGUUGUUCGGAUUUACUGGGCGUAAAGGGCGCGUAGGCGGCCAGCGCCAGUCCGUUGUGAAAUCUCCGGGCUUAACUCGGAACGGUCAACUGAUACUGCGCGGCUAGAGUGCGGAAGGGGCAACUGGAAUUCUCGGUGUAGCGGUGAAAUGCGUAGAUAUCGAGAGGAACACCUGCGGCGAAGGCGGGUUGCUGGGCCGACACUGACGCUGAUGCGCGAAAGCCAGGGGAGCGAACGGG